UAGUCAUUAGCCAAAUUUUCUCUUCAAAAUUUUCGGAGAAAAUUUCAAUCUGAGUAACUUGUCUCUCGAUGGGUUUCCCUUUAAUCUCAUAAAUCAUUGUUUCAGGGAAUUUAGCUCAUCAAUAUUUUUCAAUUUAGGGAGGCAUAGAUUAUUUGCGGAGAAUAAAGAACAAGCUGACAGAUCAUCAGUCGAUUGCAAAUUGAAGAUGGAAACUUUCUUCAACAAUUUAUUUUCUGGGACAACAUGAUUUACAAGCUCUAAUUGCUGGGUUUCUUGUGUUUUCAAAGGCUUGGCUGUGUAGCUUUUGUUUGGACCCAUUAUCCGUGGAAGCUUUUGGUUUAUCCCCAUGAAGGAAUUAUCCCAAAUCUUCAAAUGCGCACAGAAUUAGGGUUCUAUGUUGUGUUAGGGUGGAAUCAGGGUUAAAGCACGACCAAUGGGAGCUGUUUGUUGUGUUAGGGUUCAUUGUUCUUUUUCAAUAAAUUCGUCUUAGAAUGGAUGUUGAAGAGCAUCUUGACAAGAAAGCUUAAAGCC